CAGCCGCCACGGUAAUACGUAGGUGGCAGGCGUUGUCCGGAAUUAUUGGGCGUAAAGCGCGCGCAGGUGGUUUAAUAAGUCUGAUGUGAAAGCCCACGGCUCAACCGUGGAGGGUCAUUGGAAACUGUUAAACUUGAGUGCAGGAGAGAAAAGUGGAAUUCCUAGUGUAGCGGUGAAAUGCGUAGAGAUUAGGAGGAACACCAGUGGCGAAGGCGGCUUUUUGGCCUGUAACUGACACUGAGGCGCGAAAGCGUGGGGAGCAAACAGGAUUAGAUACCCCAGUAGUCCCUGUCUCUUAUAU
rnacentral:rRNA from 1 species